rnacentral:tRNA from 1 species
ACUCAGUGGCCGAGUGGAUAACUCGGUGGCGUUUGAAGCAAAAGGUACUGGGUUCGAGUCCCAGAGUAAACA